GGCCCCGGCCGGCGACAGCGGCCUCGCGUUUCUCCACGCCCGUGUCAGCGCGACAGCUGAGGGUCUCCAGAGAGAAGUGCCUCUCAGUACAUGGCGGGGGCCAGCCGUGCAAACACGGAGGACUCUCAGCGCCCUGGCCACUAAUCCCGCUGCUAAAAACAGCUGAGGCUGAGCCGCCCCGAGCCUGCUUGCUGGUUCUCAGCCGCGAUCCAGUGACCCUGAGCCGUGCCGAGACAUUCCCGAGGCUCGGGUGCCCCUGGCUGCAGGAGCCGGGGCCCGGGAUGGCGCUGGUUAUUUUUAUCCGAGAUGGCUCAUGCUUUCCACAGUGGAGAGCAGCAAGAAACCCCAAGCCCUGCACAUGCACGGGUCCUCUUUACAUUAUCCUAAAUGAGCCCUGGCCCUCGUUCGUUCAAGGACCUGGAGAUUCAGGAGAGCAGGUGAUGGAUGCCUUGGGCCACCUGUGUGGGGAGCCCGACACCAGCUUGCUGGGGGAAGCCACGGCUUAGGAGUAGCAGUAACUGAGGCCAGCAGCAAGGGGCCUAAAAGACACAGCCAACGAGCAGGCUCAGCCACUAAGCAAUGAACACGGCGCUCUGUACACAGCAGGUGCUCAACGCAAACCUCAAACUGAAUUCGUAGCAGGAAAAGUGAGUGGCUGAGGGAUCUGUUGGUCUCGAGGACAAAUAAGAAGUUCUUUCUGUGCCGACUCCACCUCCGACGUCGGCCACAGGGAGAGGAGAAUGACCCAGAGUGGUUCUUUACAAAUCUGCUCUCUGCUGUGGCCUGGGAAAGCAGUGGAAGAUGGCCCAAGUCUUUGGGCCCCUGAACCCGCAUGGGACACCUGGAAGAAGCUCCUGGCUCCUGGCUUCGGAUCGGCGCAGCUCCAGCUGUUGCAGCCAUUUGAGGAGUGAAUCAGCAGAUGGAAGACCUCUCUCUCUCUCUCUCUCUCUCUCUCUCUCUUCCUCUACCUCUGCUUCUCUGUAACUCUGCACUUCAAAUAAAUAAAUAAAUCUUUGAAAAAAAAAAAAGGAGGCCGUGUGGACACCGAAGCCCCCGCCCCUACCCCAUCCGGGGUUUCAAAGGCUGCUGAUGUGAUGAUAGGUGGUCUGUGGUGCACACGAUUCCCAGCGUCCAAGGCACACAGUGUCACCACCGAGCCCAUUCAGAGUCUCUGAAACAACCUAUUCCCCCUCACAAGUCUCUCUAAAGCACAGUUCUGCCGUAGCCCUGCUCUGCCCAGACCUCGCCCAUGGUCCCCUCCGCCCAUCAGUGGACUGCCCCCGCCUCUGACGGACACUCAGCCCGGGUCCCACAAAGCUGGAUCCCCCUCGUCCCUCUGGCCUGGGUUGGCUCCACCGGGCAGGGGCUGCCACUCCUGGGAUUGCCACGUGGAGCUCCGCACCGGGGUGCGGUUCCUCCCUCUUGGAGGCCCGUGUUUUCACAGUUACCCCUCAACUACAGUCUUGGGCACAGGAGGCUGCAGGCUCUGGGAGCUGUAGUGAUGGUCUGUACCGGUCCUUUUACCAUCUGCAGCACC